UACGUAGGGGGCGAGCGUUGUCCGGAGUUACUGGCGUAAGGGCACGCAGGCGGUGCGGCGCGUUUCGCGUGACAGCGGAGGGCUUAACUCUCCGAGGAUGCGAAAGACGGCGGCACUUGAGGGCCAGAGAGGGACACGGAAUUCCGGGUGGAGUGGUGAAAUGCGUAGAGAUCCGGAGGAACACCGAAGGCGAAGGCAGUGUCCUGGCUGGUGACUGACGCUGAGGUGCGAAAGCUAGGGGAGCGAACGGG
rnacentral:rRNA from 1 species